rnacentral:rRNA from 1 species
UACGUAGGCAGCGAGCGUUGUUCGGAGUUACUGGGCGUAAAGGGUGUGUAGGCGGUUGUUUAAGUUUGGUGUGAAAUCUCCCGGCUCAACUGAGAGGGUGCGCCGAAUACUGAAUGACUUCGAGUGCGGGAGAGGAGAGUGGAAUUCCUGGUGUAGCGGUGAAAUGCGUAGAUAUCAGGAGGAACACCGGUGGUGUAGACGGCUCUCUGGACCGUAACUGACGCUGAGACACGAAAGCGUGGGUAGCAAACAGG